rnacentral:rRNA from 1 species
UACAGAGGUCUCAAGCGUUGUUCGGAUUCAUUGGGCGUAAAGGGUGCGUAGGCGGCCAACUAAGUCAGACGUGAAAUCCCUCGGCUUAACCGGGGAACUGCAUCUGAUACUGGAUGGCUUGAGUUCGGGAGAGGGAUGCGGAAUUCCAGGUGUAGCGGUGAAAUGCGUAGAUAUCUGGAGGAACACCGGUGGCGAAGGCGGCAUCCUGGACCGACACUGACGCUGAGGAGCGAAAGCGUGGGGAGCGAACAGG